rnacentral:rRNA from 1 species
GCCUCAGUAACGGCGAGUGAAGCGGCAACAGCUCAAAUUUGAAAUCUGGCCCUUUCAGGGUCCGAGUUGUAAUUUGCAGAGGGUGCUUUGGUGUCGGCCGUGGUCUAAGUUCCUUGGAACAGGACGUCACAGAGGGUGAGAAUCCCGUACGUGGCCGCCGGUCUUCACCGUGUAAAGCCCCUUCGACGAGUCGAGUUGUUUGGGAAUGCAGCUCUAAAUGGGAGAUACAUUUCUUCUAAAGCUAAAUAUUGGCCAGAGACCGAUAGCGCACAAGUAGAGUGAUCGAAAGAUGAAAAGCACUUUGGAAAGAGAGUCAAAAAGCACGUGAAAUUGUUGAAAGGGAAGCGCUUGCAGCCAGACGUGCCCGCAGUUGCUCACCUGGGCUCUCGCCCGGGGCAUUCUUCUGCGGGCAGGCCAGCAUCAGUUCGGGCGGUUGGAUAAAGGCCUCUAUCACGUAUCUUCCUUCGGGAUGACCUUAUAGGGGAGGCGCAACACGACCAGCCUGAACUGAGGACCGCGCAUCAGCUAGGAUGCUGGCGUAAUGGCUGUAAGCGGCCCGUCUU